GCCAAAGAUGAUCAGUGAGGGUGAUUAUGUCAUAUUAAAGAAGGAAAAUGUCAUCAGAGCCGUGAAAGUUCGAAAAGGCAGGAAAGAGACAUUUGAAAGGUUGCACUUCACACUGGAUAGUGCUAUUGGAUGUCCUUUGGGAUCAACAUUUGAAGUAAAAGGAGGUAAACUAAGCAGGUUUGAUGCGGAACAAGACGUGGAUGAACUUCUUAAGCCAAAAAAUAAUAUUGGUAAGUAUG